rnacentral:snRNA from 1 species
CCUUGUAGAGAUGAUACUCUCCU